CCUACGGGAGGCAGCAGUGGGGAAUAUUGCACAAUGGGCGCAAGCCUGAUGCAGCGACGCCGCGUGCGGGAUGAAGGCCUUAGGGUUGUAAACCGCUUUCAGCAGGGACGAAAUUGACGGUACCUGCAGAAGAAGCCCCGGCCAACUACGUGCCAGCAGCCGCGGUAAUACGUAGGGGGCGAGCGUUGUCCGGAUUUAUUGGGCGUAAAGAGCUCGUAGGCGGUCCGGUAAGUCGGAUGUGAAAUCUCCACGCUUAACGUGGAGGGGUCAUUCGAAACUGCCAUGGCUAGAGUUUGGUAGAGGAGUGCGGAACUCCCGGUGUAGCGGUGAAAUGCGCAGAUAUCGGGAAGAACACCCGCAGCGAAGGCGGCACUCUGGGCCAAUACUGACGCUGAGGAGCGAAAGCGUGGGGAGCAAACAGGAUUAGAUACCCUGGUAGUCCACGCCGUAAACGUUGGGCACUAGGUGUGGGGAUCUAUCGACGGUCUCCGUGCCGUAGCUAACGCAUUAAGUGCCCCGCCUGGGGAGUACGGCCGCAAGGCUAAAACUCAAAUGAAUUGACGG
rnacentral:rRNA from 1 species